UUAUACAGUAUCAAAGUUUCUUCUACAAUAUAAUUGGGAAGAAUAAGCAUAGAGUUGGGAGAUAGUAAUGUAGAUAAAUUACUAAGCCUCCGUUUGGUUCGGGGUUAAGAAAAAAGUAGUUAUUCCAGGAAUAGAGUUAAGUUCGGGGUUAAAGUGGGGUUAAAAUUUUUUUGUGUUUGGUUGGGGGUUGGAGUUAGUCUAGAAUAAUAAAAAAUAGUGUUUGGUUAGAGUAGGUGAGAUAAGAAGAUAAUGAUUGAUAAAGAAGGAUAAUGAUUGGUUGGAGUAGGUGUGAUAAGAAAGAUAGUAGGUUAUUAUGAAUAAAAAAUAGUGUUUGGUUGGAGUUUGGUGGGGUUAGGUGGGGUUAACUAACCCGAGAUAAUUUAUUUGAGGUGGGGUUAGCUAAUCCCAUCCAUUUGUUAGGGUGUUUGAGGAU
rnacentral:lncRNA from 1 species